rnacentral:rRNA from 1 species
ACUCCUACGGGAGGCAGCAGUGGGGAAUUUUGGACAAUGGGCGAAAGCCUGAUCCAGCAAUGCCGCGUGUGUGAAGAAGGCCUUCGGGUUGUAAAGCACUUUUGUCCGGAAAGAAAUCCUUGGCUCUAAUACAGUCGGGGGAUGACGGUACCGGAAGAAUAAGCACCGGCUAACUACGUGCCAGCAGCCGCGGUAAUACGUAGGGUGCGAGCGUUAAUCGGAAUUACUGGGCGUAAAGCGUGCGCAGGCGGUUUGCUAAGACCGAUGUGAAAUCCCCGGGCUCAACCUGGGAACUGCAUUGGUGAAUGGCAGGCUAGAGUAUGGCAGAGGGGGGUAGAAUUCCACGUGUAGCAGUGAAAUGCGUAGAGAUGUGGAGGAAUACCGAUGGCGAAGGCAGCCCCCUGGGCCAAUACUGACGCUCAUGCACGAAAGCGUGGGGAGCAAACAGGAUUAGAUACCCGAGUAGUCCC